AAACAGAUUUAAUUAACUUCCAAUUAAUAACAAGCCCAAAGCUCUGUUUA
rnacentral:tRNA from 1 species